GCCGUGGUGGUGCAGGGGUAGCACACCUGAUCCAGUAACCUAAGCUCCUAAUUCGCCCACCUAAAUCCCUAAUACUCUCUCUCACGGAUCGGGAGGUCGCAGGUUCGAUUCCUGCCUACGGUG
rnacentral:tRNA from 1 species